rnacentral:rRNA from 1 species
GUAGGGAAUAUUGGGCAAUGGAUGCAAGUCUGACCCAGCCAUGCCGCGUGGAGGAAGAAGGUCCUCUGGAUUGUAAACUCCUUUUUUGGGGGAAGAAUAGUUCUCUUGCGAGGGAAUGUGACGGUACCCUAAGAAUAAGCCACGGCUAACUACGUGCCAGCAGCCGCGGUAAUACGUAGGUGGCAAGCGUUGUCCGGAUUUAUUGGGUUUAAAGGGUGCGUAGGUGGUUUGAUAAGUCAGUGGUGAAAGCUGGUUGCUCAACAAUCAAGUUGCCAUUGAUACUGUCGGACUUGAGAGAAGUGGAGGUGCAUGGAAUGGAUGGUGUAGCGGUGAAAUGCAUAGAUAUCAUCCAGAACGUCGAUUGCGAAGGCAGUGGGCUGUACUUUAUCUGACACUGAGGCACGAAAGUGUGGGGAUCAAACAGGAUUAGAAACCCCAGUAGUCC